rnacentral:lncRNA from 1 species
GUCUCCUUUGAGUGAAAGCCAACUCCUGAACUUGCUGUAAUAACAACAUGUUCUGUUGUAUACUCAUAACAGCUUUUUGUUGUCUUUGACAAAGUAUUUGGCAUUUCUUCUACUUUUCCAUGUACAGUUGCUAUCUAGAGGAUCCAUGACUAGAUUUACCUUUCUUCUGAAUAUGCAGACCGUAUUUUUUAAGCUGGCCAUAGCUGUGUAGGUGGCCACCUUCUAAAAGCUUCAGCAUCUGUAUUAUUGAAUAAAUAGAAAAACUGGGAGGAUGAUAUCCCUGAAAACUUUCUUUCCCCUCAUUGCACCCGUUGUUUUAAUAAAAUAAAUUUCCUCUCACUACAGACCUUACCUCAUCAUUUUGCAUAAUCAUCAUGACUGAAGUAACAAUUGCUGCAGCUAGCACUAUUGAUCUCAAUAGUGCUCAGGUAAUUAAGAGCUCUUUAUGAAGUACUCAAAUGAAAAAGGAGGAUUUUCAGCAGUUCUCAGCAUUGUUGUUCCAGGACUUGUACUGCAGAAAUGGUGUGGAUCCCCAGAUGGAAGGAAUUGUACUAAUUGACACACUCUUUCAAGUCAGACCACCAUAUUUACUGUGAAAAGGACUGAAGAAAAAAGUUCUUUACUGGAGCAGUUUUUCUCUGACCAGGCAGAUGUGCAGACAAGGUAAUUUCACAUAAGCUACACUGUC